AAAACUUUCAACAACGGAUCUCUUGGUUCUGGCAUCGAUGAAGAACGCAGCGAAAUGCGAUAAGUAAUGUGAAUUGCAGAAUUCAGUGAAUCAUCGAAUCUUUGAACGCACAUUGCGCCCGCCAGUAUUCUGGCGGGCAUGCCUGUCCGAGCGUCAUUUCAACCCUCGAACCCCUCCGGGGGGUCGGCGUUGGGGAUCGGCCCUCCCUCUGCGGGGGCCGUCUCCGAAAUCCAGUGGCGGUCUCGCCGCAGCCUCUCCUGCGCAGUAGUUUGCACACUCGCACCGGGAGCGCGGCGCGUCCACAGCCGUUAAACACCCAACUUUCUGAAAUGUUGACCUCGGAUCAGGUAGGAAUACCCGCUGACUUAAGCAUAUCAAUAAGCGGAGGAAAAGAAACCAACAGGGAUUGCCCCAGUAACGGCGAGUGAAGCGGCAACAGCUCAAAUUUGAAAUCUGGCCCCUAGGGUCCCAGUUGUAAUUUGUAAAGGAUGCUUUUGGUGAGGUGCCGCCCGAGUUCCCUGGAACGGGACGCCACAGAAGGUGAGAGCCCCGUCUGGCUGCCGCCGA
rnacentral:rRNA from 1 species